rnacentral:rRNA from 1 species
AUUGAACGCUGGCGGAAUGCUUUACACAUGCAAGUCGAACGGCAGCACGGGGGCAGCCCUGGUGGCGAGUGGCGAACGGGUGAGUAAUACAUCGGAACGUGCCCGGUCGUGGGGGAUAACGUAGCGAAAGUUACGCUAAUACCGCAUACGAUCUGAGGAUGAAAGCGGGGGACCUUCGGGCCUCGCGCGAUCGGAGCGGCCGAUGCCAGAUUAGGUAGUUGGUGGGGUAAAGGCCUACUAAGCCGACGAUCUGUAGCUGGUCUGAGAGGACGACCAGCCACACGGGGACUGAGACACGGCCCAGACUCCUACGGGAGGCAGCAGUGGGGAAUUUUGGACAAUGGGCGCAAGCCUGAUCCAGCCAUUCCGCGUGCAGGACGAAGGCCUUCGGGUUGUAAACUGCUUUUGUACGGAACGAAAAGGCUCUGGCUAAUACCUGGGGCUCAUGACGGUACCGGAAGAAUAAGCACCGGCUAACUACGUG